UAGUGGAGGAGGAUCUUACGAUUGAUCGGUGAUGGCUUUGACUGAUCCUGGUUUUGGAUGAUGCUUUUAUCGAUCAUUGAUGGCUUUGAUGGACGCACUUCUUCUCUGUGCUAUAUAGGUAUUUUGCAAGCGAGUUAUGAUCUGUAAUCUAAGGAUUAGUUGCACGGGAUGGUUGUAGCUAUGUUUGGCUUGUUUCUGGCAUCAAUGGUGUUCAUAUUUUAGUUGUUGGAGUGUCCGGGAAUAAGAGAACCGUACUCUGAUUCUCAGAUAGAUAAUGUAAUGUCGACAAGGUCGAUCAAUGAGAAUGAAGCAAGCAGAAGGUUGAAAUCAGAAUAAUUCAGUAUCCAGUUUGAUGGUUCGUGACUUCUUAUCCUGAUAAUUUGGUGAUUAGCAUUGGAGCUACUAACAAGUAACAAGCCACAGAAGUUGGAUGAUGCAGUGCUUAGGAGAUUGGUAAGAGCAUUUUUGUCACCAGGAUUUUCAUUUUUAUCAUAUCAUUUUU